GGUUUGUGGCUUAGUGGUAGAGCACUCACCUAGCAUGGAUGAGGCACUGGGUUUGAUCCUCAGCACCA
rnacentral:tRNA from 1 species